UCCAGAAGAUAGUAGAGGACAGGAAGACCUGGAGGAACGUUGUCCAUGGAGUUGCGAUGGGUUGGACAUGACUUUGCAACUAACAACAAAAACACAGCCCUCAUCCAGCUGGAACUACAACUCCCGUAUUCUCAUCAGCCACAUUGUUUUGAGAGUUACAUUUCAAAAACGUGACAUUUUAGCAGGGGUGUGUUGACUUUCUAUAUUCUAAGUAAGCUGUUCUAGAUAUGGAGCCCUCUUCCAUCUGGAACAUUCAGAUACACUGAAAAUAUAACUCCCCAUGUUUCAUCAGACACAUUGGCUGGGCACUUUCUGGGUUAAAUCCAUUAGGACAUUUUAAGAUGGAUGCAAAGUAGAAUUAAAAAUAUAUUUUGAUAGAUUUUUCUCCUCCAGAGGGCAGUCUAGACCUUCACACUUUCUCCAUCCUUUCUCAAACCUCCUGCUUGACAUAAAAACCACAACUGAGGCCCUGUGCGAUGAACACAACUGCUUGCCACAAAAGGAAACCACUCUCUGGUUUAUAGCUUUUUCUAAAUGUAAGAAGCGAAGGAGAAUGUUAGUUUUCUUCAUUGUUCCAAGGAUGUCUUUUUCUUCUGAAACAAAUCAUUAUUUGAUUUUUCUGGGAACUUUCUUACUGCUCAUGAAAUCAGGAACUUCUCAAAGCGAUUCAGUGUCCCAGACCAGAAGCAACAUGGAAGUCCUAGAAGGAGAAGCUGCCACUUUGCCCUGUAACUUCACAACUUUCAGCUCCAGUCCAUAUCUUUAUUGGUAUCGUCAAUAUGGGAACCAAAGACCCGAACGAAUCCUGACUGCUCACAAAUACGGGAAUAACCCCUUCCAGGAGGGAAAGUUUUCCACCACAUUGGUUAUAGAAAAUCAGAAUUUAGUUCCUCUGAACAUUAGAAGUGUCUCUUUACUGGAUGGAGCUGUUUAUUUCUGUGCUCUGAACACCACAGUGAAUCAUCACCAUAUACAGACUUGCACAAAAAUCAACGAAAUGAAACCAACCUCAACCCUGUACAGAGAAUUCUGUCCCAAAGGGCUAGCUGCAUUCAUCAGCAUCAUUUUUAAAAAGUGGUGGAGAAUGAAACGAUUACAAUCCUAUUGGACUUUCUAAAAGAAAUAUAUUUACUUUUCACCUGGAAGAAGCCAGAAUGGUUACAGUUCCAGGGAAACAAUACUAGACAAUUGACAUUGAAGCAUAAGGGAGAAUAAGAAAGAACAGCUAUCCAAAAAACUUUGUGUUCUGACACACACAGCACCCAAAUCAUACCACCACACACUGCCAACCACCACAC